CAAGCGUUAUCCGGAAUUAUUGGGCGUAAAGAGCUCGUAGGCGGUUUGUCGCGUCUGCCGUGAAAGUCCGGGGCUCAACUCCGGAUCUGCGGUGGGUACGGGCAGACUAGAGUGAUGUAGGGGAGACUGGAAUUCCUGGUGUAGCGGUGAAAUGCGCAGAUAUCAGGAGGAACACCGAUGGCGAAGGCAGGUCUCUGGGCCGUAACUGACGCUGAGGAGCGAAAGCGUGGGGAGCGAACAGG
rnacentral:rRNA from 1 species